UGGAUGUUUCCUUUUACUCGUUCCGCACCACGGAUUAGGUUAUACGGAUGCGCAACUUCGACAAUUUUUAAAACUCGCCUAUCACGCAAACACCAGAUGGCACUAUAUGCAGUUAACAAAAUGGCGUCUGGAGGAUCGACUUGUUCCGUGUCUUUUUGUAAAAAUUUUAAGAAAAAAAUAUCCACAUCUGUCGUUUUUCCGAUAUCCGAAAGAAUCUGAAUCGAUUUUUCUACAAAGCAAAGACGACCUCGGCCGCAGUCUAGUUGUGUCAAAACUUUUAGAGAGCACCUCAUCACUUUUGUUUCCAUCAGCUGACCAAUUUUCACCAAUAAAUGUAAUAUCAAGAAAACAUUUGAAUAAUUUCAAUCUUUCAACAAUCCAUAACUAGUUUGAAGAAAGAUCAGCAACAUCAUGUCAAGCAAAGAGAGAGAUCAACAUCUGUUUUUCAGAAAAUGUUUGAAGUUGAUUGAAGCAUCAAUUACAGGAGACCAAUGUUUUAAUAGAGAUGUGUUUAAUAGUUUCUGUUUCUUAUAUCAAAAAGUAGUAAUGGUAACUAACCUAUUGUUUUCAGUCGAGUAUAAUCA
rnacentral:lncRNA from 1 species